AGAGUUUGAUCAUGGCUCAGAUUGAACGCUGGCGGCAGGCCUAACACAUGCAAGUCGAACGGUAACAGGAAGCAGCUUGCUGCUUCGCUGACGAGUGGCGGACGGGUGAGUAAUGUCUGGGAAACUGCCUGAUGGAGGGGGAUAACUACUGGAAACGGUGGCUAAUACCGCAUAACGUCGCAAGACCAAAGAGGGGGACCUUCGGGCCUCUUGCCAUCAGAUGUGCCCAGAUGGGAUUAGCUUGUUGGUGAGGUAACGGCUCACCAAGGCGACGAUCCCUAGCUGGUCUGAGAGGAUGACCAGCCACACUGGAACUGAGACACGGUCCAGACUCCUACGGGAGGCAGCAGUGGGGAAUAUUGCACAAUGGGCGCAAGCCUGAUGCAGCCAUGCCGCGUGUAUGAAGAAGGCCUUCGGGUUGUAAAGUACUUUCAGCGGGGAGGAAGGUGUUGUGGUUAAUAACCGCAGCAAUUGACGUUACCCGCAGAAGAAGCACCGGCUAACUCCGUGCCAGCAGCCGCGGUAAUACGGAGGGUGCAAGCGUUAAUCGGAAUUACUGGGCGUAAAGCGCACGCAGGCGGUCUGUCAAGUCGGAUGUGAAAUCCCCGGGCUCAACCUGGGAACUGCAUUCGAAACUGGCAGGCUUGAGUCUUGUAGAGGGGGGUAGAAUUCCAGGUGUAGCGGUGAAAUGCGUAGAGAUCUGGAGGAAUACCGGUGGCGAAGGCGGCCCCCUGGACAAAGACUGACGCUCAGGUGCGAAAGCGUGGGGAGCAAACAGGAUUAGAUACCCUGGUAGUCCACGCCGUAAACGAUGUCUACUUGGAGGUUGUGCCCUUGAGGCGUGGCUUCCGGAGCUAACGCGUUAAGUAGACCGCCUGGGGAGUACGGCCGCAAGGUUAAAACUCAAAUGAAUUGACGGGGGCCCGCACAAGCGGUGGAGCAUGUGGUUUAAUUCGAUGCAACGCGAAGAACCUUACCUGGUCUUGACAUCCACAGAAGAAUCCAGAGAUGGAUUUGUGCCUUCGGGAACUGUGAGACAGGUGCUGCAUGGCUGUCGUCAGCUCGUGUUGUGAAAUGUUGGGUUAAGUCCCGCAACGAGCGCAACCCUUAUCCUUUGUUGCCAGCGGUUAGGCCGGGAACUCAAAGGAGACUGCCAGUGAUAAACUGGAGGAAGGUGGGGAUGACGUCAAGUCAUCAUGGCCCUUACGACCAGGGCUACACACGUGCUACAAUGGCGCAUACAAAGAGAAGCGACCUCGCGAGAGCAAGCGGACCUCAUAAAGUGCGUCGUAGUCCGGAUUGGAGUCUGCAACUCGACUCCAUGAAGUCGGAAUCGCUAGUAAUCGUGGAUCAGAAUGCCACGGUGAAUACGUUCCCGGGCCUUGUACACACCGCCCGUCACACCAUGGGAGUGGGUUGCAAAAGAAGUAGGUAGCUUAACCUUCGGGAGGGCGCUUACCACUUUGUGAUUCAUGACUGGGGUGAAGUCGUAACAAGGUAACCGUAGGGGAACCUGCGGUUGGAUCACCUCCUU
rnacentral:rRNA from 1 species